rnacentral:rRNA from 1 species
GACGAACGCUGGCGGCGUGCUUAACACAUGCAAGUCGAACGGAAAGGCCCUGCUUUUGUGGGGUGCUCGAGUGGCGAACGGGUGAGUAACACGUGAGUAACCUGCCCUUGACUUUGGGAUAACUUCAGGAAACUGGGGCUAAUACCGGAUAGGAGCUCCUGCUGCAUGGUGGGGGUUGGAAAGUUUCGGCGGUUGGGGAUGGACUCGCGGCUUAUCAGCUUGUUGGUGGGGUAGUGGCUUACCAAGGCUUUGACGGGUAGCCGGCCUGAGAGGGUGACCGGCCACAUUGGGACUGGGAUACGGCCCAGACUCCUACGGGAGGCAGCAGUGGGGAAUAUUGCACAAUGGCGGAAGCCUGAUGCAGCAACGCCGCGUGCGGGAUGACGGCCUUCGGGUUGUAAACCGCUUUCGCCUGUGACGAAGCGUGAGUGACGGUAAUGGGUAAAGAAGCACCGGCUAACUACGUG